GCCUGGGUGGCUCAGUUGGUUAAGCAUCUGACUUCAGCCCAGGUCAUGAUCUCAUGAUUCGUGGGUUCAAGCCCUGCACUGGGCU
rnacentral:tRNA from 1 species